rnacentral:rRNA from 1 species
GUGACCUCGAAUCAGUAGA